rnacentral:tmRNA from 1 species
GGGGGUGAUCUGGUUUCGACAGGGUCGCCGAAGUGUUAGUUGCAAGCCGAGGUCUCAGACGGGGGCACUCGUUAAAAAGUCUGAAAAAAAAUAAGUGCUGACGAAAACUACGCACUCGCUGCCUAAUUAACGGCAACGCC